rnacentral:lncRNA from 1 species
UGGAUUGUUUACUCGGUUUGCCGUUUGUUAUUAUACUCUAUAUUUGUUGGUGUAAAUUAACUAGAUGCAUCGAGAGGUCCUUUUGGUGUAAAUUAACUAGAUGUGUCCAGAGUUGUCCUUCCAUUGAUCUGCAAACAUUGUGCAACUUGUUUAGUUCGUAAAAUUUUUGGUUUUUGGCUACCGUAGCACUUUCAUUUUUAUUUGAUAAACAUUGUCCAAUCAUGGAGUAACUAGGCUCAAAAGAUUUAUCUCACAAAUUACAGAUAAACUAUGUAAUUAGUUUUUAUUUUCGCCUAUAUUUAAUACUCUAUGCAUACAAACAAAGAUUCGAUGUGACGGAAAAUCUUAGAAAAUUUUUACGAACUAAACAAGGCCGGCCUUCGGUGAUCUACGUUUCCGCAAACGUGAUACAAUUUCGGUGAUCUUCAGACAAGUAACGUUUCCCAAACAGUGUUGCUCACCUGUUAUUAGGAGG